CCUCCCGGCCCCGCCCGCACUGACAGGCGGGCGCUGAGGAGGAAGGGGAGGGCGCCCGCCGGGCCGCGGCCUCACAUGACUGCGGCCGCGAUGGACGGCGACCCGCCCGCAGGCAGCGCGGGUGUAGGCACAGGGCUGAUGUAAGAUAUUGGGACAUUGAGCAGCAGACUUUGUG